UCUACUCCUCCUGGGUGUAUUUGCUUCUUUUUGUUCUAGAGCUUUUAGGUGUGCUGUCAAGCUGCUGACAUAUGCUCUUUCCUGUUUCUUUCUGCAGGCACUCAGCGCUAUGAGUUUUCCUCUUAGCACAGCUUUCAUUGUGUCCCAUAAGUUUGGGUAUGUUGUACCUUCAUUUUCAUUAAAUUCUAAAAAGUUUUUAAUUUCUUUCUUUAUUUCUUCCUUGACCAGGUUGUCAUUGAGUAGAGCAUUGUUCAAUUUCCACGUAUAUGUGGGCAUUCUUCCCUUAUUGUUAUUGAAGACCAGUUUUAGGCCGUGGUGGUCCGAUAGCACGCAUGGGAUUAUUUCUAUCUUUCUGUACCUGUUGAGGCCCGUUUUUUGACCAAUUAUAUGGUCAAUUUUGGAGAAAGUACCAUGAGGAGCUGAGAAGAAGGUAUAUCCUUUUGCUUUAGGAUAGAAUGUUGUAUAAGUAUCCGUUAAGUCCAUUUGGCUCAUGACUUCUCUUAGUCUGUCUACAUCUCUGUUUAAUUUCUGUUUCCAUGAUCUGUCCAUUGAUGAGAGUGGGGUGUUGAAAUCUCCCACUAUUAUUGUGUGAGGUGCAAUGUGUGUUUUGAGCUUUAGUAAGGUUUCUUUUACAUGUGUAGGUGCCCUUGUAUUUGGGGCAUAGAUAUUUAGGAUUGAGACUUCAUCUUGGUGGAUUUUUCCUUUGAUGAAUAUGAAGUGUCCUUCCUUAUCUUUUUUGAUGACUUUUAGUUGAAAAUUGAUUUUAUUUGAUAUUAGAAUGGCUACUCCAGCUUGCUUCUUCUGACCAUUUGCUUGGAAAAUUGUUUUCCAGCCUUUCACUCUGAGGUAAUGUCUGUCUUUGUCUCUGAGGUGUGUUUCCUGUAGGCAGCAGAAUGCAGGGUCCUCGUUGCGUAUCCAGUUUGUUAAUCUAUGCAAAAGACUGAGUAUUAUACAUUGUCCAGGACACCAGAAAGGGCACAACCCAGAGGCACGAAGAAACCGGCUGGCCGAUGCCACGGCUCGAGAAGCGGCCGUGAGCAAAUAAAUCUUGCCCUUACAUAGCCCAGACCAACCCACGCCCCCACCAGUGGGACAAACUAGUUGGGUUUAUGCCCAUGAGGACAUAGAGCUCCUAAAAAAAUGGGGGCCAUCUACCACCCUCAACUAAAACAGUGGGUCUACAAAGGACUUUUGAAUUGAUUUCCUUUUUACAUAAGAAGAUAAAAACCUUACUAGAUCGAGAAGAGAUAAAUCUGUGUUUUUUUUUUGAAUUGGGACAAAGCGAUACAAAAGGUGACUGAGAGUUACAAAGCGUGCGCUCAGGUUAACCCGGGAAGGACCAUGAUUGGACAAGGAGUUCGUCCUAGGGGACACCGUCCUGACAUCCAUUGAGAAAUUGAUUUUACUAAAAUUAAACCAGAUAUAUAUGGAUACAAGUAUCUCCUAGUGUUUGUAGACACCUUCUCAGGAUGGGUCAAAGCCUUCCCCACGAAGCACGAGACUACAAAAAUGGUCACCAAGAAGCUCCUCGAGGAAAUCUUUCCCAGCCCUUCUCUGAGGGCCCAUUUACAGGCCCUACAGAUUGUGCAGAGAGACGUCUGGAGACCUUUGGCCACUGCUUACCAGGACAAGCUUGAGCAUCCGGUGGUGCCACACCCGUUCCAGAUUGGAGACACCGUGUGGGUGCACAGACACCAGACCAAGAAUCUCGAGCCAUGGUGAAAAGGACCCUACACCGUCCUCCUGACUACCCCGACCGCCCUAAAGGUAGACGGAGUCUCGGCUUAGAUCCACACACCACACGUCAAGGCAGUCCGGUCUGAGGAAUUGACUAAUCACAACACUACACCCCAGACAUGGAGAGUUCAGCGCACUCCAAACCCCUUAAAGUUAAAACUCCUACGUGGCUCCUCCUAGCCCUUUUGUGGCCUAGAGUCAGUGGGGGAAUAAGCCCCCACCAGACAGAAAUUUCUUGACCAAGUUGAGUGAAAGAUUUCACUCAAAGUUAGCAAAAAAAUGGGGGAAUGAAAGACCCCAGCUUAGCAGCAGUAACGCCAUUUUGCAAGGCUGUACUUAAGAUGACUGGUUCAGGGAAAGGUUAGAACACUGAGUACACAGCGGCUGCCAAGCAAGAUAUGUUUGGUUGAAGGCCUGGCAACAGGACGACUUCGGUUGAGCACCUGACAAUGAAAAAAAGCCCCAGGAGAGGUCCCACACCCUGGUGGGGGGCCGAGUCAGUCGUUAUGUUCCAAGAAGGUAGCUAAGAAACUUGCCCCCGGGCUGAACCCUUGGGGGGCCGAGUCAGCCGUUAUGUUUCAGGAAGGUAGCUAGGAAACUUGCCCCCGGGCUAAACCCUUGCCAUAUUAGAAUCCACCAAUUAUAUCCCUGUAACCAUGCAUCUGCUUCUGUAUGCUUGCUUCUGCUCCCCAAAAUCCUAUAAAAGCCCAUCCUUGGUUCCGUGGGGCGUGCCAGUCCCCCGAGUGACUGAAGCGCCCGCAGGUGCCUGUGCCUGUGUAUCCCAACAAUAAACCAAAUCCUCUUGCUGAUUGCA